rnacentral:rRNA from 1 species
UACGGGAGGCAGCAGUGGGGAAUCUUGCGCAAUGGACGAAAGUCUGACGCAACAACGCCGCGUGAGGGAUGAAGGCCUUCGGGUUGUAAACCUCUUUUAUCAGGGAAGAUAAUGACGGUACCUGAUGAAUAAGUCACGGCUAACUAC